rnacentral:rRNA from 1 species
UACGAAGGGGGCGAGCGUUGUUCGGAAUUACUGGGCGUAAAGGGCGCGUAGGCGGCCGAGCAAGUUUAGAUGUGAAAGUCCUGGGCUUAACCUGGGGACUGCAUUUGAUACUGCUUGGCUUGAAUUCGGGAGAGGAUAGCGGAAUUCCCAGUGUAGAGGUGAAAUUCGUAGAUAUUGGGAAGAACACCGGUGGCGAAGGCGGCUCUCUGGACCGAUACUGACGGCUGAGGCGCGAAAAGCGUGGGGAGCAAACAGGG